CCUGACACUUACCCAUCAGCACAUAUCGGAGGCCUGUGAGAAUGUUGCAAGCUUUGCAUUUUUUCCACCGGGCUUUAUCUGUGCAGGAUGCUGGCAGUUUAUUUUUCUCUCAUCAGAAGGGGGGCUUGGCCCUACGUCAUCUGGUUCGGGCAUGCUGAUUGGCUGGCUCGGAUAUAAUGAGGGAGGCGUGGGGAAUUCUCUCAGCGCUUCAGUAGUGCGAGAUCCGCAGGUGCGGGAAGAGGCAAGUUUGCAAGAAAGUGUGAGGCGCAAGUGUGGGAGCUGCUCUUCUCUUUCUACAAGAAUCGUAGGCAGCGCACAUCAGCACGGAGAGACAUGCAGAGCUGUGCCAAGUCAUGGGGAGUCCUGAGCAGGGCGCUGAGGCUGAUGCCGGGCAGGACGAUGGGCUGCAAGAGAAGCGCUUGGCUCCGCGUGGAGUUGAUGGGAAGGAGCAGCAGUAGCCAGACUGCGCCAGGGGCAGCGCUCACUUCCAGCUCCCCCCGACACUUCGAGCUGCUCCUGCCCCGACACGAUGACUUCUCCGAGAGGCACAUCGGCCCCGGGGACAAAGAGAAGCGACAGAUGCUGGACACCCUCGGUCUCCAGGACAUUGAGGAGUUGAUUGACAAGACUGUUCCUGGUAGCAUUCGCCUGGCAAGACCUCUAAAGAUGGAUGAUCAAGUCUGUGAGAAUGAAAUUCUUGAAUCACUCCAAAAUAUAGCCAACAAGAACAAGAUCUGGAGGUCCUACAUAGGCAUGGGCUACUACAACUGUUCAGUUCCACAGGCCAUAUUACGAAACUUAUUGGAAAAUGCAGGCUGGGUCACACAGUAUACCCCAUAUCAGCCUGAGGUGUCACAAGGGCGACUAGAGAGCUUGCUGAAUUACCAGACUAUGGUGUGUGACCUAACUGGAAUGGACGUGGCAAAUGCAUCGCUUCUAGAUGAAGGAACAGCUGCAGCUGAGGCCAUGCAGUUAUGCCACAGACACAACAAAAGAAGGAAAUUCUACGUGGACAGUAGAUGCCAUCCUCAGACAAUAGCUGUGGUACAGACAAGAGCAAAUUACAUUGGUGUCGAAACUGAGCUGCUGUUGCCUCAUGAAAUGGACUUCAGUGGAAAGGAUGUCAGUGGGGUAUUGUUUCAGUACCCAGAUACUAAUGGGAAAGUGGAAGAUUUCACCCAUCUUGUUGACAGAGCACAUCAAAAUGGAACACUGGCCUGCUGUGCCACAGAUCUCCUAGCACUUUGUAUUAUGAGGCCUCCUGGUGAAUUUGGAGUAGACAUUGCCCUGGGAAGUUCACAAAGAUUUGGUGUGCCACUUUGUUAUGGUGGUCCUCAUGCAGCAUUUUUUGCAGUAAAGGAAAACUUGGUGAGAAUGAUGCCAGGAAGAAUGGUUGGAGUGACCAGAGAUGCUGCAGGAAAAGAAGUUUAUCGCCUUGCGCUACAGACCAGAGAGCAGCACAUUCGCAGGGAUAAAGCCACAAGCAACAUAUGCACUGCACAGGCCCUUCUUGCAAACAUGGCUGCUAUGUUCUGUGUUUAUCAUGGACCUAAUGGCCUAAAGCACAUAGCACGGAGAGUACACAAUGCCACCGUCAUUCUAGCAGAAGGUCUGAAGAGAGCUGGGCAUCAAUUGCAAAAUGAAAUGUUUUUUGACACCUUGAAAAUACAUUGCGGUUGUCCAACAAAAGAAGUUCUCGACCGGGCAACCCAACGACAGAUUAAUCUACGGGUCUUCAGUGAUGGUUCACUUGGGGUGUCACUUGAUGAAACGGUGAAAGAGAAAGACCUGGAUGAUCUUUUAUGGGUUUUUGGCUGUGAAUCAUCAGCGGAACUGGUAGCUGAGAGCAUGGGCGAAGAGAUUAAAGGCAUUCUGGGCACAGCCUUCAAAAGAACAAGCAAAUUUCUCACUCAUACACUGUUUAACAGCUAUCAUUCUGAAACCAACAUUGUCCGCUACAUGAAACGGCUAGAAAACAAAGAUAUUUCACUUGUGCACAGUAUGAUUCCUUUGGGAUCCUGCACAAUGAAACUCAAUAGUUCUUCUGAACUUACACCAAUUACUUGGUCAGCUUUUGCCAAUAUACAUCCAUUUGUGCCUCUAGAUCAGGCUCAGGGCUAUCAGCAGUUAUUCCAAGAGCUGGAGAAGGAUCUGUGUGAAAUAACGGGAUAUGAUAACAUAUCCUUCCAGCCAAACAGUGGAGCUCAGGGUGAAUAUGCUGGCCUGGCUGCAAUCAAGGCUUACUUGAAUGGGAAAGGAGAACACCACAGGACAGUUUGUUUAAUUCCUAAAUCUGCGCACGGAACCAACCCUGCAAGUGCUCAGAUGGCAGGAAUGAAAAUUCAGCCAGUGGAAGUGGAUAAAAAUGGAAGCAUUGACCUUGUUCAUUUAAAAGCUAUGGUGGAUAAACACAGAGACAACUUGGCAGCAAUAAUGAUUACAUACCCCUCAACUAAUGGGGUUUUUGAGGAAGAUAUAAGUAACGUGUGUGACCUUAUUCAUAAAAAUGGUGGUCAGGUUUAUUUGGAUGGUGCCAAUAUGAACGCUCAGGUUGGUUUAUGUCGUCCUGGGGACUAUGGUUCUGAUGUCUCUCACUUGAACCUACAUAAGACAUUCUGCAUCCCCCAUGGUGGAGGUGGUCCUGGCAUGGGGCCGAUAGGAGUAAAGAAGCAUCUUGCCCCUUAUUUGCCCAGCCACCCAGUCAUUGCUCUUCCAAAUGACAAUACUUCCAGUUUGGGGACUAUUAGUGCUGCACCAUGGGGGUCCAGUGCAAUUCUGCCUAUUUCCUGGGCUUACAUAAAGAUGAUGGGUGCAAAAGGACUGAAACAUGCUACAGAAGUGGCCAUACUGAAUGCCAACUAUAUGGCAAAGAGACUAGAAAAACACUACAAAAUCCUAUUCAAGGGAUCUAGAGGAUUUGUUGCUCAUGAAUUCAUUCUUGAUGUAAGACCCUUCAAGAAGUCUGCAAACAUUGAGGCAGUAGAUGUUGCAAAGAGACUGCAAGACUAUGGAUUUCAUGCACCUACCAUGUCCUGGCCAGUGGCAGGAACUCUAAUGAUUGAGCCAACUGAGUCUGAAGAUAAAGCCGAGAUGGAUCGCUUCUGUGAUGCGAUGAUUAGCAUCAGGCAGGAGAUUGCUGAUAUUGAGGAAGGCAGAAUGGACUCAAGGAUUAAUCCACUAAAAAUGGCUCCACAUACAUUGACUUGCAUUGCAUCUUCCAUUUGGGAUCGUCCUUAUUCAAGAGAAGUGGCUGCGUUUCCCUUGAGAUUAAAAAGGCGCUUAUUACAGAGGAAUUCAGAGAUGGAAUUCCAGAGCUAAGCAGCAGCAACAUAGAAAUGUACAAGACGAGAGGUGGCAGUGGAUGGUUUGAAAAGACGUUGGCUCUGAGAGGAGUGGAGGAGACAGCCAGGAACUUAAUGAGAUAAGUGAAGAAAUGUAGCGAGGCACAGAGUGGCUACUUUGAAUGUUAACAGAAGGAUUUUAUAUGCUAUCCUUUGCUUAACAUGUAGUUAUGAUAAAGGUUUUACCUGGGGUAAAUCCCUCUUAGACAGAAAGAUGGGAUUCAGGGAGACCAGUUAGUAGGAGAUUUCAAUAGUCUAUAUGGGAUAGGUUAAGGAUUAGUGUUUUGGCUAUUUGUGAAAGAAAUUUAUCUUCGCAAUAUUGCAAAGGAAAAAUCGGAAGGUUUUGGAGUAGUAGUAAUAUGAUUAGAAAAGAAGAGGGGCUGGUCAAAGGUGACCCCCAGGAAGCGUGUGGAAUUAUUAGUCAUGCCAUCAAUAGUAAUGGUGAAAGAGAAGGGCUAACCACAAACUCUGUUUUAGCUAAGUUGAGCUUGAGGUGGCAUUGGUUCAUCCGGGAGGAGAUGGCUAGGAGGCAGUUCAUGAUCUGAAUGUCCGUGGUUAGUGAAGAGAUUCCAUUAGCCUAUAGGUGGUAUUUAAGGCAAAAUUAAGAUAUAAGGUCUCUUAAUGAGAGAGUAUACAAGGAGAACAGCAGAGUACAGUACCCUGAGGCACCCCCACACUAAGCUGAAACAGGGAAAAUGAUUUGUUAGCAAAAGUAAAAGUGAAGGAGCAAUUAGAAAGGUAGGAAGAGAACAAGGAUUCCCUUCAUCUUGAUCCUAGAUACCAAGUAAAAGGAGAAUUCGCAUUAGAAAACAUUGGUCAGCAGUAUCAAAAGCAGAAGAUAAGUGCAGGAGAAUUUGAAUCAAGUAAUGUCCUUUGGUAUUUGCAGUCUGGAGAUUGUAUGUAACGCUACAUAAGGCUAUGGAGUGCACAUGUCGAAAGCUAGACUGCUUUGGGUCAAGCAGAUUAUGGGUGCAGAGGAAGCUUAGAGAGAGACAGCCAUUUGUCAGACCAGAGAGCAAAUUCUGGCCCUCCAUUGCACGAAUUGAUGACAUUUAUGGUGAUCAGCACUUGGUUUGUACCUGUCCACCAAUGGAGGUCUACGAAUCUCCUUUUACAGAACAGAAGAGAGCCUCCUCAUAAACUAGAUUGCUUUUCUGCUCCCCCCCCCCAAAGUC